UACAGAGGGGGCGAGCGUUAUUCGGAAUUAUUGGGCGUAAAGGGCGCGUAGGCGGCUUUGCAAGUGACGGGUGAAAGCCCUCGGCUUAACCGAGGAACUGCCUGUCAGACUGUAAGGCUUGAGACCGGGAGAGGUGAGUGGAAUUCCCAGUGUAGCGGUGAAAUGCGUAGAUAUUGGGAGGAACACCAGUGGCGAAGGCGGCUCACUGGACCGGAACUGACGCUGAGGCGCGAAAGCGUGGGGAGCAAACAGG
rnacentral:rRNA from 1 species